AGAAGUCACCAGAACAUUGCAAUUGGUUCCCGUCACUUCCGUAAAUUCCCGCUGAGCUAGGAAGUUUGUUGCUCGAGGUAAUAUUGUGGUGAGCCUAUCCUACCUGGUUGCUUGUCCUAACCUUAGCAGCACCUACAUUAUUACCUCGACAUUCCCCUCCCACGGAUUCUGCCCUCGUUGGCAGCAUUGAAGGAACGUAGCCAUGAUAUAGCAGCUACCUGUCCAUCGUCCAGAGAGAGAGUCAGCCAGC